rnacentral:rRNA from 1 species
CAGCGCCACAAGUGGGAAUCGCAUUUAUUGGGCCUAAAGCGUCCGUAGCCGGCUGAGAAAAUCUCUUGUGAAAUCGUUCGGCUUAACCGAACGGCGUGCAGGAGACACUGUUUAGCUAGAGACCGGGAGGGGUCAGAGGUAUUCUAUGAGGAGCGGUAAAAUGCUAUAAUCCAUAGAGGACCACCGGUGGCGAAGGCGUCUGACCAGAACGGAUCUGACGGUGAGGGACGAAAGCCAGGGGAGCAAUCCGGAUUAGAUACCCGAGUAGUCC